rnacentral:lncRNA from 1 species
AGAAAUAAGCUUCAAAUGAAAUAGGCUUUCGAUGUGACAGUGUUUACAGGAAACAUGAUGCUGUUACGAACUUCCCUUAGAAUCAACCCAUUUGUGAAACACCACAUUAAUAAGAGCAGUAUCUUUGGAGAUUGGAGAGUCCACCAAGGAUGCCCACUGGCUCCCUACAAAGUUUUUUAUGUGAGGACUCGGUCUCAGGCUCAGAAGUGGAAGAGAUGUGCCUUGACUCAGAUGAGACUUUGGACUUGGACUUUUGAGUUAAUUCUGGAAUGAGUUAAAACUUUAGGGGACUGUUGGGAAGGCAUUAUUGUGUUUUAAAUGUGAAAAGAACAUGAGGUAUGGGAGGGGUCAGGGGUGGAAUGAUAUGGUUUGGCUCUGUGUCCCCACCCAAAUCUCAUGUCAAAUUUUAAUCCCCAGUGUUGGUGGAGGAGCCUAGUGAGAGGUGACUGAAUCACAGGGGCAGACUUCCUCCUUGUUUCUCUUGUGAUAGUGAGUGAGUUCUCAUGAACUCUGGUUGUUGUAAAGUGUGUGGCACCUUUCCCUUCACUCUCUCUCUUCCUCCUGCUCUUGCCGUGAGAAUAAGUGCAUGCUUCCCCUCCUGCCAUGGGAAUAAGUGCAUGCUUCCCCUCCUGCCAUGAGAACAAGUGCAUGCUUCUCCUUUUGCCUUCUACCAUGUUUGAAAGUUUCCUGAAGCCUCUCCAGCCAUGCUCCCUGUGCAGCCUGCAGAACUAUGAGCCAAUUAAACAUGUUUUUGUAUAUAAAUUACCCAAUCUUAAGUAGUUCUUUAUAGCAACACAAGAAUAAACUCAUACAACCCCCAUUAUCAUUCAGCUAAAUAUGGUUGGGUUUUUGGAGCCUCAAGCAUGAAGGUGAACUGGCUAUGGCUAUACCAGCCUGAAAGGAUUGAACUCUCCCCUGGAAUCCCAGAACAAAUUCCUUCAACUGAAAAUGUCUCUCCUGUCUCGAGGAGCAAGUCCCCACAAAUUUAUUUUCUCACUUUCAUCCAAACUCUGAUAAUUCUGGAAAGAAGACCAAAGAUUUGUCAAUAACAGGCACUCUUAGGGCAGUGUCUGUUCCCUGAGCUGAUCAUAGGAGCAUGUUGGGAAAUUUCAUCAAAUGUAAAAUCAAAGCCUUGUAUUAGACUUAGCAAAAGUUAGCCGUUGGCAAAUUGUGAAAUUGGUUAAGUAUGCCUGUGGCACCUUCCCACUUUCAUAAUUAAUUUUUAUGCCCUCCCACUUGGCUCUUAUAACCCUACAAGUACAAAUAAUUGGUCAUUUGUGUGACUUUCUGUUUAUUGCAUGUCUCUAUUUAACUUGCUAUAAUUUGCAUAUGUGUGGAGACUACACUUGUCUUUUUGGCUACUAUAUCCUUCUGUCCCCUAAUAUUGUACCUGAUUAUGGAAUACGCCAAUUUAUUAAAUGAAUAAAGUUUUUUUAAAUAUCUUGACCCCUUUUUGGAACAUUAUAUAGCACAAAAAUAAUUGUUCAGUGACUGUACCUUAACUGAAUGGAUUGUAUGAGUAAUGGAAGUGGUUAAGAUAUGAAUCACUCUGGGAUUGCAUUUCCACAAAACUUUUCCAAGACCUAUCAUAAGAGGGAGGGAAGAGUGAGACCUCCCAAUACACUGUAUAUUUACAAGAACUGCAAAACUUUCAAUGGUAUGUUUCUUUACUUGUAGCAGGCUUUAGGUUUCAACCUGUUCUCUCUAAUGCCUGCCACUGUCUACCUCAUCUCUGUGACUUCUGUCUCCAUGUAGUUGGCUGUGAAAUAGGAUGCAGUUUCUUCUUCUUCCCUUGCUAUUUUUGUUUAAUGGACACAAGUCCCUAUUUAAUCACCUGGAAAAGCUACCAGAAGGGGAAGAAAGCAAGCCACAUUGAGAGUAUACACUACUCUUACUAAUAUAAUCUUAGGCCAUUUGUACUGUUUUUGUUUCUGGGCCAUAUUGUAAA